rnacentral:rRNA from 1 species
UAGGGAAUCUUCGGCAAUGGGGGCAACCCUGACCGAGCAACGCCGCGUGAGUGAAGAAGGUUUUCGGAUCGUAAAGCUCUGUUGUAAGAGAAGAACGUGUGUGAGAGUGGAAAGUUCACACAGUGACGGUAACUUACCAGAAAGGGACGGCUAACUACGUGCCAGCAGCCGCGGUAAUACGUAGGUCCCGAGCGUUGUCCGGAUUUAUUGGGCGUAAAGCGAGCGCAGGCGGUUUAAUAAGUCUGAAGUUAAAGGCAGUGGCUUAACCAUUGUUCGCUUUGGAAACUGUUACACUUGAGUGCAGAAGGGGAGAGUGGAAUUCCAUGUGUAGCGGUGAAAUGCGUAGAUAUAUGGAGGAACACCGGUGGCGAAAGCGGCUCUCUGGUCUGUAACUGACGCUGAGGCUCGAAAGCGUGGGGAGCAAACAGG